GAGGGUAUAGCUCAGUGGUAGCGUGCUUGCUUAGCAUCCACAAGGUCCUGGGUUCAAUCCCCAGUACCUCCU
rnacentral:tRNA from 1 species